UAGGGAAUCUUGCGCAAUGGGCGAAAGCCUGACGCAGCGACGCCGCGUGCGGGAAGAAGGCCUUCGGGUUGUAAACCGCUUUCAGGAGGGACGAAGCCACUCGGGUUAAUAGCCCAGAGGGUGACGGUACCUCCAGAAGAAGCCCCGGCUAACUACGUGCCAGCAGCCGCGGUAAUACGUAGGGGGCGAGCGUUGUCCGGAUUUAUUGGGCGUAAAGAGCGUGUAGGCGGCCAGGUAGGUCCGUUGUGAAAACUAGAGGCUCAACCUCGAGACGUCGAUGGAAACCAUCUGGCUAGAGUCCGGAAGAGGAGGGUGGAAUUCCUGGUGUAGCGGUGAAAUGCGCAGAUAUCAGGAAGAACACCUAUGGCGAAGGCAGCUCUCUGGGACGGUACUGACGCUGAGACGCGAAAGCGUGGGGAGCGAACAGG
rnacentral:rRNA from 1 species